CCCUUAGAUGUUCUGGGCUGCAUGCGCGCUACACUGAAGCUAUCAACACGUUUUCCCUCCCUGAGAAGGGCGGGUAACCUUUUGAAUCAGCUUCGUGGUAGGGAUCGGGGCUUGCAAUUGUUCCCCGUGAACCAGGAAUUCCUAGUAGACGCGAGUCAUAAGCUCGCAUCGAUUAAGUCCCUGCCCUUUGUACACACCGCCUGUCGCUACUACCGAUUGAACGUUUUAGUGAGGCAUUUGGACCGACGCAUCUCAGUUUAACCGCUGGUUUGUGUUGGAAAGACUUCCAAACUUGAGCGUUUAGAGGAAGUAAAAGUCGUAACA
rnacentral:rRNA from 1 species